CCCCGAGCACGAUGCCGCGCAGGAAUGUGAAAGGCGCGCGCCCGCCGCCAUUUUCUCUCUUUCUUGGCAGACAGCGGCAGCGGCCGGAGCGGCGCCGGGGAGGCCAUGGCGGACUAUUCCACGGUGCCCCCUCCUGCCGCGGGCGCGCCCGGGGGAGGUGGCGGCGGGGCUGGAGGAGUGAACGAUGCCUUUAAAGACGCGCUGCAGAGGGCUAGGCAGAUUGCAGCGAAAAUUGGAGGAGAUGCUGGCACAGCAAUGAAUUCAAACGACUACGGUUAUGGAGGGCAGAAAAGACCUCUUGAGGAUGGAGAUCAACCAGAUGCUAAGAAAGUUGCUCCCCAGAAUGACUCUUUUGGAAAUCAGCUACCACCGAUGCAUCAGCAACAAAGGUCUGUGAUGACAGAGGAGUACAAAGUUCCAGAUGGGAUGGUUGGAUUCAUAAUUGGCAGAGGUGGAGAGCAGAUCUCACGCAUACAGCAAGAGUCUGGCUGUAAAAUACAGAUUGCACCUGAUAGUGGAGGCCUGCCUGAAAGAUCAUGUAUGCUGACUGGAACACCAGAGUCUGUUCAGUCAGCAAAAAGAUUGCUUGAUCAGAUAGUUGAAAAGGGAAGACCUGCACCUGGAUUUCAUCAUGGUGAUGGACCUGGAAAUGCAGUCCAAGAAAUUAUGAUUCCAGCAAGUAAAGCAGGAUUAGUUAUUGGGAAAGGUGGAGAGACAAUUAAACAAUUACAGGAGCGGGCAGGUGUCAAAAUGGUCAUGAUCCAAGAUGGUCCACAGAACACUGGUGCAGACAAACCCCUUAGGAUAACUGGAGACCCUUAUAAAGUUCAGCAAGCCAAGGAAAUGGUGCUGGAGUUAAUUCGUGAUCAAGGUGGCUUUAGAGAGGUGCGCAACGAAUAUGGGUCAAGAAUAGGAGGAAAUGAAGGGAUAGACGUUCCAAUACCACGAUUUGCUGUAGGUAUUGUAAUUGGAAGAAAUGGAGAGAUGAUUAAAAAGAUCCAGAAUGAUGCUGGUGUUAGGAUCCAGUUCAAGCCAGAUGAUGGAACAACUCCAGAUAGAAUAGCCCAGAUCACAGGGCCUCCUGACAGAUGUCAGCAUGCUGCAGAAAUUAUUACCGAUCUCCUUCGCAGUGUUCAGGCUGGUAACCCUGGUGGACCAGGACCUGGUGGUCGAGGAAGGGGUAGAGGCCAAGGCAACUGGAACAUGGGGCCUCCUGGUGGAUUACAGGAGUUCAAUUUUAUUGUCCCUACUGGCAAAACUGGAUUAAUCAUUGGAAAAGGUGGUGAAACUAUUAAAAGUAUAAGCCAGCAGUCUGGUGCUAGAAUAGAACUUCAGAGAAAUCCUCCACCUAAUGCAGAUCCAAACAUGAAGAUGUUUACUAUCCGUGGAACACCCCAGCAAAUAGAUUAUGCACGACAGCUUAUAGAAGAAAAGAUUGGAGGUCCAGUGAAUCCAUUGGGUCCACCUGUUCCCCAUGGUCCCCAUGGUGUUGUUCCUGGCCCGCAUGGACCUCCUGGGCCACCAGGUCCUGGUGCUCCCAUGGGACCAUAUAAUCCAGCUCCUUAUAACCCAGGCCCUCCUGGUCCUGCACCUCAUGGUCCUCCAGCUCCAUAUGCUCCACAGGGAUGGGGAAAUGCUUAUCCACACUGGCAGCCACCAAACCCACCAGACCCAGGUAAGCCAGGAACAGAUCCCAAUUCAGCAGCGUGGGCAGCUUAUUAUGCUCACUAUUAUCAGCAGCAAGCACAGCCACCACCUGCAGCCCCUCCUGGUGGACCAGCUACAACCCAAACCAAUGGACAAGGAGAUCAGCCAAAUCCAGCACCAGCAGGGCAGGUUGAUUAUACCAAGGCCUGGGAGGAGUACUACAAAAAAAUGGGUCAAGCAGUUCCUGCCCCUGCUGGGGCUCCUCCGGGCGGGCAGCCAGAUUACAGCGCAGCGUGGGCCGAGUACUACAGGCAGCAGGCAGCGUACUACGCUCAGACAAGUCCACAGGGAAUGCCACAGCAUCCUCCAGCACCACAGUGCCUUCCCAGACCUUCCACCUUAGGUUCUGCUGCAAAAAAGCAACAGACAUUUAAUCAUCACUGAAGAAAAGGAAUUGAGGUACUCUGAUCUCCUUGCUAUAGCUUCUCUCCAGUGAACACUUACGUGCUAAGAGAAGCCUGUGGUUUGCAAGCUGCAAUCAAGAACCCCUUUCGGAGGACAUCCCAGAGUACUUUAUCUGUUCAGGGAGGAAGUGGACUGGGAGCUGUCAGAGUACUGAUAAUCCAGAUCUCUAUACUGUGAGCAGCCCUGGGACUGCUUCAGGUCUAUCACAGCUCAUGGGAGGAAGGAAAUCAUGAUGUGACUCCAGUGCUACUGCUGUCUGUAUUGUAUUGAUCCUUUGAGUCCCAGGAAAGCCUAAACUCAGUGUGCCAAACAUGGUGCAAAUAAAGAGCUCAAUGAUUUUAAACAAAAAUGCUGGAAAAGCAGCUUACCACUGGAAGGGACUUCUCUCUUUGCAGUUUAGAGGAGCUGAAGUCAGGGAUUUUCAUGAUACGGAAAGUUAAGCUCUUAUUUUUCAAAUUCUUUUGAAAAUAAUUAAUAUUAAGAGUUGUUUUCCUGUAAACUUCAAAAAUACACCAACAUCAUCAGUGCUCACUGGCACUACUGUAGAUACACAAAAGGAAUGGGAUUCUUAGAGAUCUUGGGAUGUUUUUCCCAAGGAAAGCAGUCACAACAUAUGAAACAAGAGCAUUUAGCUACCAAUGCUUGCCCUGAUUUACAGAUUCUAAACUCUUCAAAUUUGACUGCAAUAGAGAUGUUCUGGAGAGCACUUUGGUGCUCCCUUUCAACCAGUUAGCACAGAAAGUCACACCACCCCCACCCCAGUCCUUCAUUUGUAGACUGAUAGGAAUCCAAGGCAUUUCAGUUUCUCACUUGUGAGGACAUGAACAUAUAAUCGCUAAGUGGCAGUUCCUAUUGAGAUUGUUUCAGGUCAGCAGUAGAAUGCUGGAAUUGUGUGGAGUCUAGGAAGGCAGAUAAUUGCAUCAGCAUUCUGUAGCCUCAGGGUCCCUACAGGCUUUGCCACCCAUUUGUACACUGUGCAGGAUUUUCACAGCUCUGUAAGCUUUAGCUGAUUUCUAAUGCAUGUAAGUAAAAUCCCCACUGUGAUCAGUAUAUCUGUUCUCUUCUUUUGCUACUCUGCUCUUUUAAUGGCUCCUUCCCCACUUGGGGCUGGCAAUUUUAGCCUUCUAGUUAACAUACAGCAGCAGACUCAAAGCUUCACUGCAGGAACCCAUCAGAAAACAAAGGAAUGUCAUGAAUUGGUGCAAUCCUUGCACUGGAGUAACCUGGGACACAGAGACCUUUUACCCUUGACAUGGCUCUGGAGCAGAGAAGACUCAAAGAUAAUCUGUCACAAGAAAUUCCAUCUCACCUCAACACUUCAAGGUAAGGUUACCACUAAUCUUGACCACAGCAAUGUACCCCAUGGAUAGGGCUUCCUCUUAAAGUCAUUUGAAAACUGACUAUUCCAAAGUCUGGUUUAUUAUGUGCAAUCAAUUGUAAGAAGAAGAUGAUGUUCCUGAGUCAGGACUUUCUCUUGACCCUUUCUGAUAGCUCCAAUUACCUGAACCUCUUGACAGUGGGAUAACAAAGCUGAAAUUUUCCUUAGGAGUGUGAAUGUUGGAAGAAAUCUUCUUUGCAAAUUCCUGCUGUCUGAAUUUCCAAAAUAGUGCCAGUCCAAGAGGUUGUUGGCCUUGAAGAUGGCAGAUAUGUUUCUGCCAUUUGGAAUACUGCCAUAUCUGCUAUUACUUUAGGCUACUUUCCAGUUCAUAGGCAUCACUAACUCUAAUAUGUUUGAAGGUUAGCCAGCUGGCUCUAAGGCAUUUUGCCUCUGCAAGUCAUCCUACCUCCACCUCUGAUGCUAAAAGAUAUUGAUAUAAAGCACCAGCACACUGCUAAACAUGAUACCACCCAUGUGUGCACUUCCAUCCCUCUCCAUGGCCAUUAAUCCUGGAGCAGGAUGAGCAGCUGGACCCUGCCUCAGGGCAGAUGAGUAAUUUCCAAUAAGGACAAUCAAAAUAUUGAAGAAAAAAAAGAAGCACUCCUUGAGUUUUGGGUUGGGUCUGUGAGGCAGUGACCACAGCUGCAGACAGAAGCUCCUUUGCUCCUGCCUCACCAUCAGGAGAGGCUCACAGUCAAUGAACUGGUGCUGAGAAAACCCAAGUGGCUGCAUCAGGAACUCCUGACACCUACAAAUCGUGGAAGAGCAGAGCCUUCCUCAUCUGCCAAUAGCUUUGCAGAAGUAUGCAGUAAUAGCUUUUCCAACCCAAGAAUCCUUGACCUACUAAUUCCUUUUUGAGAUGUACUAGUUAUAUUAAAGUGUGCAUUUACAUGUAUGUAUUCUUGUUUUGUAUUUUCCCGGAGUUCAUCUAAUAAAAGCAAUUCUUAUUUUUUGAGGCAAUACGAGCCUGCCUGUUUAGUUGCUUACUUCAGAAACUGUUUAUCCUAUUACAAAGCUGUCCAAUCUUAAUAUUCAGUCUCAUCUUGUCUUUCCCAAGAUCAACAUACCUUAGCAGGAGCUGUAAGAGCUCCUCAUUGAAGCUGCCCACUCAAAAAAAAUCCCAGAUGACAAUUAUGAACAUCACCAUGAUCAAAAAACGAGUUUGUUACCCUUUGCUGACCCAGUCUCAUCCCUCCAGCAUUCACCUGAAAAUACUGUAAUUUUUUUUCUUUCCACAUUUUAUCUUUCCUACAAUUAAAUGACAUAUCUUUGAUAAAGUUAGUCUGGUGUUAUGAGUUUUAUACUGAAAGUACCAGACUGCAGGGUCCCUUUGAAAGGUCCACUCCUCAAGAAAAAUUUAACCUGCACACAGUGAUUGAUGGUCCUAACUCUGGAAUUGGAAAAAAUAUGCCACUUAACUUGACUGGCUAUAAUGCAGAGAGAGUGAAAAAUUCAAGUGAAAAUUUAAUACAAAAGCAGUAAUACAUAGGAAACCAGGCAACAGAUUAGAAAUGUUGUGUAAAAAAAAAAUACUGCUUUCAAACAUCUUACUCAUUUACUGUAAAUGGACAAGCAAUCAGCUCAGAUAUGCCUUGGUCUGUUAUGAUCAUAGCACUUUUUCAACUUGUCAUGCAGCCUGCCUAAAAUCUUACUUUGGGCAAAAAAAGUCAAAAAAGAAAACCAUUAAGGGGACACAGAAACUUUGAUGGCUCACAAGUCCCAAAAUCUAUCUCCUUAAAUUUAAUUAAUUUCCAUUUCUGAAAGCAGGUCAUAGUCCUCAAUUGAUAAAAAAAAGUUGUGCAGCUUUAACCAGAUUAAAAAAUAAAAAGCCUUCCCAUAAAUAAUAAAAUUUGCUUUCUUUUAAAAAAUCUGUCUUUUUCAGGGGCUUGAUAAACAUCCUCACAUGAGACACAAAAAAUACCCUGAACCAAACAGAACUCUUUACAAUAGGAGUAUGAAGUCAGGACUUUAAAAAAAGGUCCAGUUCCUCUGUGAUUUCUCCUCUCAAAGGGCCCCCUGAUCUCCUCCUGGUACUGUGAGUUAUAAAUAAGCCCUUCAUGGCACGGUCUAAGUUACAUUUACCAUCUGUCUCCUCUUUGUGAUCUACUUGCAGGGAAGUCUCCAUUAUAUAAGAAAACCAAACUGUGAGAGUUGGAAACUCACUGCUUGCAGCCAAAGCACCAAGCAGAGGGAAACACAGUCCACAGCGCUGAAAUGUUUAAUAAAAUAUUAAAGAGGACUGGACAGCGGAGGGGAAAUGGUCAUCAUUUAUGUCCUGCCUGUAACUGCUCUGGAAUGACACUACCAGUUGUUGUACCAAAUUACAGAUACUGAAGUAGAUACUAAAAUUAUCGUGCACAGGGGAAGGUCCUGAGCUGGCAUCAACCAUCAGCUCCACUGAAGCCAGUCAGUUAUGACAAUUAAUACCAGCUGUCUAAACUUCUCAUUUUGUAUAAAUACACAAAAUGCAAAACUACUUCCACUCACUUGUAUUUUCUUCAUUAAGUCUUCAUAAUAAAAGACCAGAAUGCUUACUAACAAGUGACCCAGAUAAUUUUGCAAUCUUCUCCUCAGUCUUUUAAUUUAUCACACUUCAAUAUUUAUUGAGAGUCUUAAUUUGUUGUAGAAUACCCCUUGCAGACAAGGUGUUAUUUAUAAAAACAUAUGUAUUUUAAAGGAUGCCUAGGUUUUGUACAGCUGUAAACACUCCUAAAGCAGCAGUGCAUUCAGCCCAACUGUUAAAAAAAUGUGAUCACCCUUCUCUGUGCAAAAUAUCUGUUGAUUCCUUACUCUCUUCUACUACUAUGGGGUACACAGGCUCCAGAGCAAACACAGUAGGGGUUCAGAGACUGCUCUGGUAGUGGGGAAGUCCUGCUGGGAUCUUCUGGCCCAUGAUUUCAUGUUCCAUGGUAUCUGCUGAUCCUAAUGGAAGCGGCAGUAAAUUGUGAACUGAGGUCCCCAAGAGAAAAACCAGGAUAUUUUGCCCCAUGCCACAGUUCCUCCCUUCCUGGUUGUGCCACGGCAGCUGAAGAUGAACCAUGUGCUUUGCUGACUUCAGUGACAGGACUUCAGAGAUCAAGGUAACACAAAUGCUGGCCAUGAGGUGCUACUGCAAUUUGUAUAUUCCCUGCUGACAGGACACAGCCCUUCUGCCUCUUCUCAGAAACACUCUUGGCCAGCUCAGACUGAAGCAGGGGUGAUCCCACAGUGGCUAUGGUCUGAGCUCUGCCUCUCCUUUGGGGCUUCCUAGAGACACGCUGCUGCCUCCCCUCGAGCAGCCCUACCCCGCUGGUGGUGCUGAUGCCUGUGAAAAGCUGCAUCAUGUGUACCACCUUCACCUGAGCAGGUACAGCUGCCUUCAGUGCCCAGCACUUCCAUUGCCUCCUGCAUGGCUCUCCCGGUGCCAUGAGCUUUCCCCCUGCCUCCCCGCAGCCAGCUUGACCACGGCACUGCUUCUCCUUAAAGGAGUUUCAAAGCUGGAUAACCACAUCAAUGCUCGCCUGGCUUCUUCCACUGAGAAAACUACUCCUCUAAUACAUUCCAAAUGCAGUCAAAGUAUUCCUUACUAACGUCUUAAGCCAUCUACCCAGCUCUUGUAUUUCACCAGACUGUGCUUUCUACAUAUACCAGUCAUAUUCUCAUACUUCUGCAUGCUCCUUAAAUGAUACAGUUGGCCCUCCUAUAGGACUAAUUAUAAUUCAUAAUUUCGUUUAACUGGAUAAUUUUCUAGGAGAUCUAAUGUCUCUUAAGAUCUGAGAUCUAAGGAUAAAAGUACAGCGUUUUCUACCAUGCAGCUAUUUGCUGAUAAAUUUUUGAAAUUCUAACAUGCUUCAUUAAACAUGCUUUUUAGAUAUUUGUUGGUUUAAAAGAAGCCCUUAUUUGCCUAAAACAAACGUGAUAAUAACUAAUUUGCAAGCUGUCAAAGAAACCAAAUAUUUUCUUCCGAGCCACUCAGUUUUACAGCCAUCACCUCAGAGCGAAGCAGAAGCAAUGGACGAAUUCACCGUGCCCUCGCUGCUGAAGACCGCACCAACAAAACUGAACUCCGCGCGUGGAGACACGCGGCUUCUCAAACCCGGGGAUUUACGGGAUUUUCAGCUAACUUUUAUGACCCG